CUCAGUCCAUGGGGUUUUCCAGGCAAGAAUACUGGAGUGGGUUGCCAUUUCCUUCUCCAGGGGAUCUUCCCUACCCAGGGAUCAAACCUGGGUCUCCCGCAUUGUAGGCGGACGCUUUACGGUCUGAACUACCAGGGGAGCCCCCAACUGGUCUUAACCAGCUCAAUUACAACUGGAUGCCCAUGACUUCAAGUUGCUGGAAAAGAGUCAGGCGGACAUCUUACUCUCCAGACCGUAAGCUUCUUGGAAGACUUACAUUUGUGGAAUGCCAGACACCAUUCUGGGUUCUCAGGACACAGAAGUAGGAAUAGCAGAGGAAUUGCAACUCCCCAAAUGCAUGCUGUAGAAGUCACAGGU